UUACGGUCACAUCAUGUUGAAACACCGGUUACUGUACGCUCACCGAAGUUAAGCAAAGUCGAACCUGAUCAGUUCCUAGAUGGGUGACCGUUUGGAAAUAACAGAUGCUGUAAG